UGCUACAGCCAUGCCACCCUGAACAUGCCCAAUCCCGUGUGAUCUCGGAAGCUAAGCAGGGUCAGGCCUGGUUAGUACUUGGAUGGGAGACCACCUAGGAAGACCAGGUGCUGUAGGUG
rnacentral:rRNA from 1 species